UACGGAGGGUGCGAGCGUUGUCCGGAAUCAUUGGGCGUAAAGGGCGCGUAGGUGGCCCGGUCAGUUCGUGGUGAAAGCGCGGGGCUCAACCCUGCGUCGGCCAUGAAUACUGCCGCGGCUGGAGCACUGUAGAGGCAGGCGGAAUUCCGGGUGUAGCGGUGGAAUGCGUAGAGAUCCGGAGGAACACCAGCGGCGAAGGCGGCGCUCUGGGCCGGAACUGACGCUGAGGAGCGAAAGCGUGGGUAGCAAACAGG
rnacentral:rRNA from 1 species